AUUGAACGCUGGCGGAAUGCUUUACACAUGCAAGUCGAACGAUGAACCUUAGCUUGCUAAGGGGAUUAGUGGCGAACGGGUGAGUAAUAUAUCGGAACGUGCCUUGUAAUGGGGGAUAACUAGUCGAAAGAUUAGCUAAUACCGCAUACGCCCUGAGGGGGAAAGUAGGGGAUCUUCGGACCUUACGUUAUAAGAGCGGCCGAUAUCUGAUUAGCUAGUUGGUGGGGUAAUGGCCUACCAAGGCGACGAUCAGUAGCUGGUCUGAGAGGACGACCAGCCACACUGGAACUGAGACACGGUCCAGACUCCUACGGGAGGCAGCAGUGGGGAAUUUUGGACAAUGGGCGCAAGCCUGAUCCAGCCAUUCCGCGUGAGUGAAGAAGGCCUUCGGGUUGUAAAGCUCUUUCGCAAGGGAAGAAAACUUACCAUCGAAUAAAUGGUGAGGCUGACGGUACCUUGAUAAGAAGCACCGGCUAACUACGUG
rnacentral:rRNA from 1 species